GUCACCGUCCUCGUUGACACUCUGGAAAAUUAUCAAUGACAUUGUUUAUUCUUUGUGUUUCUAAUUCAUUGAACUACAUCUGAUUAUAUCUUAUAUGUUAAGAAGAACGUUAGUCUUUGUGUACAAAAUUAGGCCAACUGCAUGUUUGAGGAUCGGUGUUCCACCACCUUCCUAAUUACAUAUUCCAUUUGAUCACAUCUUUACAUCGUUAAUUGGUUGUUCCCUAUAUUACAGGACAGGGGAAAUGGCUUUUAACCAACAACAAAUUAGUCAAUGAACUUUCCUUGGCCUUCUUCACUUUUCAUUUGGACUUUAUAUCAAACAUUCUACUGAUUAAUGGAUGACAUUGGCACAAAAUAACUUUUGUAUAUUGGAUACAUCUGGAAUAUUUAUCAUGUCUUAAAGACUAAAGGAAAAUGUUUUAGGGAACAGAUACAAUAACCCUACUGCUAUAAAUCUAGAGUUGAAUUGCUAUGAAAUAUUUGCUCUCACUUGAGAUUCAUAGUAACAUUUGUCUAUGUCAUUAUCUGGUGCUUUUGCAUUCUAAUUAAGCUUGAAUAUAUUUUUAAAUGAGUUUGUAGCAUCUUUAGAUAUUGAUGAAGAUCACAGUUGAUAACCAUAGAGGUAUUUGUGUAAAAACAGAAACAAGAAAACCAUUGAAAUAUUGGGAUGGACAGAGAAUAAUUUGAAGGGAUUAAUGUAAUAGGGUGAAACAGCUAAAGGAUUCGGUUUUGUUUUUAUUUCUUGGAGAAAUGUCAAAAAAUACACAAGAAUCAUCAUACCAACUGUGAUAUAAAUUUGGGAAUAAUCGAAAUUUAUUGCGAAAUCCAGCGAAAGUCAUUCAUGAAAUAGAAAUAAUUGUUUGUACAAAAAGCACCUACGUACAUCAAAUUUUCUUUAUAUUAAGUGAUGGCAGAAGAAUUAUCCUUGAACUUUUAAAAGGUAAGCUUAAAUAUUAAUGUAAUACUUAAAUGCAACGAUCAAUCUAGAGUUCUUCUGUAGUUUAUUGUUGCCUGUUACAUGGGCAGCAGUAUGCCUCGUAAAAAUAAAUCUCCACCAACAGAGGAAGAGAUUGCAAUAAAAAGAGCCAAGGCUGCAGCAAGGAAAAGAAAGUCCCGUGCGAAUGAAAACCCAGAACAAACUGCAAUCAGGAGAGCUUCCAAUGCUGAGAAUAUGCAAAGACUUAGGGACUCUCAAACUCCUGAACAAGCUGCAUCCAGAAGAGCAUCAAAUGCUCUUACCAAGAGGAGAAAAAGGGCAUUGGAAACACCUGAACAAGCUGAAUCUAGGAAAGCUGCCAAUGCAGCCAACAUGAGAAGUGUAAGGAUUUCAAAAUCACUAGAGCAAUCAGAAACCAGCAAUCAGAAACUGAGAUUGGCAGUCUAUAGCCUCUGCCAAAUGAAGUCCAGAAGUUUCUCCAGGUCUAUUUUCUAGAAUAAAGGUUUUCAACCCAUUUUGGACAGAUGCUCUCUUUUGACCCUUGGAAUCACAAAUGGCUCCCUACUACAAAAUAUUUAUAUUUUUCAAUAUACUACUUAUUUUGAUAUCAUCAGAUAAUGAUUAAAAAAUAAAGGACGUCAUUUUACACAUGCACUUGUUAACAGUUGGUAAUACAAAUGUACAAAUUGAAAUGGAAAGCAAAAUGGAAUAAUAAAUGGCCUUAUGAAUGAAAGUUUGGUAAUUGUGUUUAUUUCUACCAUGCAACACUUAUGUCUAUCCAAAGUGUGCUCUUUGGUACAAGUAAAUGGUGAUGAAAUCAUUCCAAACCUUUCUGAUUUCUCUUUCCAAAAUGGCUAAAACUUGUGCAACAGUCUGAGAUAUAAGUUAUUGUCACCUGGGAAGAGGAUGUGGAAUGCUCAAAAAAGAGAGUGUAUUUGAUAGAAAUUGUUGGAAUAUCUAUGUACUUCGUAUGAGUAGCAAAUUGUGGAGGAUGGUAUUCACUGUACUUGGAUCUAGAUACUUUGAGUCACAGAAUCAGCCCCCUUUUAAAAUGACGUAAAAAAUCUGAAAAUUUGUCAUGAAAACAUUCAGGCGGUCUUCCGUUACGAGUCCUUUUUCUGUCAAACGACCACAUGCGUUUAUUUACAUCAAUUCGGCAGUUUCCGUAAAAAGUGUUGGCUUAGGGAAGUGGGAAAGGACGCGAUUUCUUUUGAAGUGGUUGUGGUAAGCAGCAAACAACAAGCAAAAAGAAAAAAACGCAGCAAACAAGCAAAAAGAAAAAAAUACCUUCUCUCUCUCUCCCUUACACACACAUUCCAGUUAUCUGUCACCUUCUCUCUCUCCCUCUCUCACACACACAGCAACAUUACACACACACACACACAUGCCAACUUCAAAAGAAAUCGUGCCCUCUCUAUCUCUUUCGCGUUCUAUCCCACUUCCCUAACCCAACACUUUUUACGGAAACUGCCGAAUUGAUGUAAAUAAACACAUGUGGUCGUUUGACAGAAAAAGGACUCGUAACAUAAGAUUGCCAACAUUCAUUUGAACCAAAGAAUUUAUUGAGAAAAAAUUUGAUGAAAAAGUUACAGAUGUUUAAAAAUCGAGAAACUGUCUAUUUUUUAACCAAUAAUAAACUUUCGUUGUAGCGAACGGUGUCAACUUUAAGGUUGUAUCCUGUGUAACCUGUUCAUUGUAGGUUUCUAAAUAAAGAUAAAUACCUUAUAAAA